UACAUUUUCAUAAUGAGCUGUGUUGGUAUCACAGAAGACUGUCGUAGACAUGGCCGUAUUUUUGCUGACAUGAGAGAAAAGGCACAUUGUGAGCGUUUACUGUAAGCACAUACUGUAAAACUAAACUCUCACAUUCAAAUGCCUGCAAAAAAUGACACAUUUCCUCAAUACCAGAGAUUGUGAUUGGCUAAUGUGGUUCAUUUAUUGUGCAUCAGGAACUCUCCCUCAUCAUGUGAAGAGCUUAGUAAACUGUCCUAUUCCUCUCAGCAUGUAAAGAAGAUUCUAGAUCCUGCGUAAAUACAUGUCUUUACUUCACUCAAGGCCCAUCCAUUCACAUUCAUUAGACUCUAUCUCCACCCCAUGAAGCGCUCUUAGCUUGUAAAAAUACUAUAUUUGCGGGUGUUCUCAGUGAGAUGAUAGGUAAGCGAGCACGUCUGUGGCCAUCUGAAGAGUUUGGAAUUGAUUCAUUUGGAUUUGGCUGUGGAACUGAUUGGUUUAUAGGUUUGGAUGACUGGGUUUGGAUUGGCACUUAUGGUCAGAACCAUAAACUGUUACUGGGGCAUGUAUGACAAGGACUUCCAUUAGGAUUACGUAUUUGUGGGGCCUUUAUCGCCUAUGCAGACAUCAAGGCAUGCAUCCGGGCGAUCUGGUUAAAAGAUGAAAUGCAUCUAUUCCCCUUUUUUAGAAAUGAGUUUCAGUAAACUCCCAUCAUGCAGUGCUUCUAUAUGGAGACAUAAAUAUGGGAGGAUAAGGAAAAAGAGAAGAAACAGGAUUGGAACACAAUGUGUUGGAACUGAUCCUGAAUCUCCCAUCUGAGUACAUGUCUUGGACACAUGAAAUAACCACUAGGCCACUCCUCCAGCUGGUGAGUUUGACUUUUCAGAUGGUGGAUCAAAUCUUUGUGUAUUUGUGCACACAAAUAAUCAUUUGCAGUUUUACAUUGACCUGAUGAUGUUGGGUUUGAACGGACUGUCUGGCUCUAUGGUCUGUGUUCGCUGGACUCUGGUUCAGUGAUUGGAAUGAUAAGUGCACAGCAUGCAGAGUCAGGCCUGUCAGAUGCUGCUGGAAUAGUCAUCAGUGUUGAAUGAUAAAACCCCAGCACACUCUCACUGUGUAGAAGAGACAUCCUUCUAACCUUACUUUAUACAUUCUGCAGUAUAAAAUAUUGUGUUUAUAACUUACAUGCCUAUCUUUGUGUGUGUGUGUGUGUGUGUGUGUGUGUGUGUGUGUGUGUGUGUGUGUGUGUGUGUGUGUGGGUGCGUGCGUGUGUUCGUGUGUGUGUGUGUGUGUGUGUAAAUGAGAAGGGAGUUUAACAUAAUAUUAUAAUUGGUGUUUCUUUGAAAUCAUUUACUUACGUAUUUAUUUAUAAUUUACUAGUUAGCAAAUUAUUCUUGAUUCUUCUAUACCUCUUAUUGUGUGUUAAUGUGCACCUUACAUGUUAAAUCAAGUAUUUCAGUAUUCAUUUUAUUUCACAUCCUGCCCAUAAGGAAGUGAAAUUCCUCAGUCAUUCAGAGCAUUUAAUAAACUCUUCUGCAGAUGUUUAAUUAUGAUUCCU
ensembl:lncRNA